AUUGAACGCUGGCGGAAUGCUUUACACAUGCAAGUCGAACGGCAGCACGGACUUCGGUCUGGUGGCGAGUGGCGAACGGGUGAGUAAUGUAUCGGAACGUGCCCAGUCGUGGGGGAUAACGUAGUGAAAAUUACGCUAAUACCGCAUACGAUCUAUGGACGAAAGCGGGGGAUCGCAAGACCUCGCGCGAUUGGAGCGGCCGCUAUCAGAUUAAGGAGUUGGUGGGGUAAAGGCCCACCAAGCCAACCAUCUGUGCCGGGUCUGAGAGGACGACCAGCCACACUGGAACUGAGAGACGGUCCAGACUCCUACGGGAGGCAGCAGUGGGGAAUUUUGGACAAUGGGCAAAAGCCCGAUCCAGCCAUUCCGCGUGCAGGAUGAAGGCCCUCGGGUUGUAAACUGCUUUUGUACAGAACGAAAAGGUUUCUACUAAUACUAGGAGCUCAUGACGGUACUGUAAGAAUAAGCACCGGCUAACUACGUGCCAGCCACCGCCGUAA
rnacentral:rRNA from 1 species